AACGUAGGUACCGAGCGUUAUCCGGAUUUACUGGGCGUAAAGCGCGUUCAGGCGGUCUGGCAAGUCGGGCAUGAAAUCUCUCGGCUCAACCGGGAGAGGCUGUUCGAUACUUCCAGACUUGAGGGCAGUAGAGGAGGGUGGAAUUCCGGGUGUAGUGGUGAAAUGCGUAGAUAUCCGGAGGAACACCAGUGGCGAAAGCGGCCCUCUGGGCUGCUCCUGACGCUAAAACGCGAAAGCUAGGGGAGCGAACGGG
rnacentral:rRNA from 1 species